UACGGAGGAUCCGAGCGUUAUCCGGAUUUAUUGGGUUUAAAGGGUGCGUAGGUGGAUUGUUAAGUCAGUGGUGAAAGUUUUCAGCUCAACUGAAAAAUUGCCGUUGAAACUGUCGAUCUUGAGUGCAAAUGAGGUAGGCGGAAUGUGUUGUGUAGCGGUGAAAUGCUUAGAUAUAACACAGAACUCCGAUUGCGAAGGCAGCUUACUGGGAUGCAACUGACACUGAUGCACGAAAGCGUGGGUAUCAAACAGG
rnacentral:ncRNA from 3 species